CCCCAUACCCCGAAUUCAUCUCACAGACCUCUCAAACCCUCUUCUCCUUACCCUAAUCCUCUGCCGCUGCCGGAAAUCGCCCACAGCGGCGGCACCACUCCAGUCAACCCCAAAAUGUCAUCCCAUAACCCAUGUCGUCUCGUUGUUCUUUUCCUACCAUUAGUUUCGUCGAAAAACCUCCUAUAUUUGCUCGAUUUUUAGAUCUAAAAGGGACGAACCCUAAUCCUUUCUUUUUUAUUGAUUGCUUCUGAAUCCGGGUCGCGUGGCGACGAAAUUUGUACCAAUCGAUUAAUCUCAUUGGGGACUAUCAAUUGGUAUCAAUCUCUAAUCGACUAAUGGUCACCGGAACUUGAUUAAAACCUGGUCGACCGGCCAGAACUUUGGAGUUCCCAUAACUGUGAUUCUCUUGGCCGGUGUAUGGCGGAUUUCAUCACAUAUAGCAUUGGCUACGCGUGAGCUAGUGCUCGUGUUCAGCUAUAAGCCGGACUUCUUUUUUCCGGCAGCAUUGUCUUCUACUGGUAAUCCUUUCUUCUCCUCUUCAUUCCCUAGAAUUGAUGAUUCGCUGUUUAAUUGUUAAUAAUUAGUUAAAUCAUAAUUUUGCUUGACAUCAUGCUAAAGUUAAUAGUUAAUCACUAGGAAAUUGUUUUAACUUUCUGAGUAACUACUUGUUGAAUUGAACCUGAAGUUGGUCAAUUGAUAAUUACUUGUUGGUUUGAACUUAAUCAACUUGUUUAAUCAGUUGUUGAGUCAUGUUUAGCUUAUGUUUGUUUGGUUGCUGUUAAUUCAGUUUAGUUAAUUGCUAUGUGUUAAACGUUUGGUUCUGAGAUGAGAAAGAGGGCAGUAAUUUUGGAUAGUAAAAUAAUGAGUUAAAAGAAAAGGUUAAAAGAAGGGUGUUAACAUGGACUUGAGGGAGUUAAAGGAAAUAAGAAAAUCAGGGAAGCUUCUAGAUAGGGAUUAAAAUGUAAUAGAACAACUGAUAUUAGGUCAGAUUUUGGAGUAAAAAGAGUGAAUUUUUAGAAGUUAAAAGAGUGGAAAAUGAGAGAAAACUUCUAGAAAGGGACAGCUGUCCCAAUUUGUUAAGAAAGAUGCUGAAAAUUAGGAAAAUAUCUGAGAAUAAAAGGACAGCUGUCCAUUUAUUGUUAGAGAAGAUGCUAUUUUCCUAAAUUUUAGGGAGAGCUGACAGAUCCCUAUAUUCCCUCUGAUUUCUCUCUCAUAGCAGUACACUCUCACUAUAUAAACCCCUGGAUAUUCAUUAAAGAAGGAGGAGAAAAAGGAAAAUAUCUGGGCAUUUUGAGAGGUUUUAUUUUUCAGUUUAUAAACACUUUUUCUUUCCUCUGCAUCUUAAAGGAGGAAUCAACAUCAACCUUCACUGAUUUUCCUUCUAAAAGUAUUCUGGAAAAAGAAAAAUCAGUAUUCAGUUUCAUUGGGUUUGGUCCAUUUCUGGAUUUCUGGAGUAGGUUCAAAGCUGUUUUGUGUUGUUUUCUGCUGCUGCGUUUGCUUUUGCUUUUGUUUCUUCUUCAAAGUCAGAGACUUAUUCUCUUUUUUGUCUACUUUGUUGUGAGCCAGAGAGCCUCUCUGAAAAGUACUGUUAGCACGCGAGGUGGUGGUGACUGCACACAUAGCUCUAAUUCAGGUUUCAAUUGCUAACUGAUUCGGCUAAACCAAUAGAUAUUAAAGCAAAAAAGAAAGACGCACCAGAAAUGUUUUGUGUACUCCAGUGCGGUGGCGUGUUGAUUUGAUGCCAAAAACUCUUAUCUAGUCCAAUUAUCAUUGUUACUCUAUUUCCGGAUCCAUGUAGUCAUUCAUGAAUUGUAAUUAGAGUAAUUGAAACUAUGAUUCGAAACUUGUAAUUCUUUGAUGCUACAAAUUGGCACUGUAUUUUUAAGAUUCGUAUAAUUGUGUAUUCAUCUUUUAAAGCGCACUCUUGUUA